rnacentral:misc_RNA from 1 species
AAAAAUGAAAAAAUGGUCCUGAAAUACAUUUUAUUAUUAUAUAUUCACGGGUACAUAUUCAUUGUUCAUGAUUCAAGUUGCUGAUGAAUUGCAGACUUAUUAAUUACAAUAUAUAUACAAGUGUGGGGUAAAGUCACGUGUUAUCGACUGUCAACUUCAAAGAUAGACCAUUUGUUGGGUCCACUUCUGAUAUCAUGAGGGGUUCCUGCUCUAACUGAGAUUUAUUAACGUUAACAUGUAAUUAAAAUAUUAAUGGCCGCUGCUACUAU